CUGGAGUCCUGAGCAUGUGUCAUAAAUGUUCUGCUCUGCCCUGUAAGAUGAUUUCUUGUUCUUUCAACAUCUCUCCCUCCCCUCCCCCCUCUCUCUGCAGCUUUGUUGCCUUCCAUGUCUCUAAGAGUAGAGCUUUGCAGAACGCAGCGAUUGUGCAUCCCCGAGCUGAAGACAACAUCUACAUUAUUGAAGAUAGAUCUCGAGGUGCAGAAUGAGUCCCAGAGGCCUUCUGUGGGGCCUUCUGCCUGGGAUUACAGAGAUCGUGACUGAUUUCACAGAGUAAAAUACCCAUUCCAGCUCCUGGGAGAUUUUCUGUGUUGGUUCUUCCAGCUGCAGUGGAGAGGGUAACCCUCUACCCUGUAUACGCAAAACUCGAGGUUAACAUCAUCCUAAUUCUUGUAUCAGCAACACCUCAGUGUCUUCACUCACUGCAGCGAUUCUCUCAAAUGUGAACAUUUUAGAAGUUUGUGUUUCCUUUUGUCCAUGUAAUCAUUGGUAAUACAAGAAUUUUAUCUUGUUUAUUAAAACCAUUAAUGAGAGGGGAAUAGGAAUUAAAAGCUGGUGGGAAGGGCCUCCUGAAUUUAGAAGCACUUCAUGAUUGUGUUUAUCUCUUUUAUUGUAAUUUGAAAUGUUACUUCUAUCCUUCCCAAGGGGCAAAAUCAUGGGAGCAUGGAGGUUUUAAUUGCCCUCAUAGAUAAGUAGAAGAAGAGAGUCUAAUGCCACCAAUAGAGGUGGUUAUGCUUUCUCACAGCUCUGGAAAUAUGAUCAUUUAUUAUGCAGUUGAUCUUAGGAUAAGGAUGGGUUUCUUAGGAGGAGAGGUUACCAUGGUGAGUGGACCAGGCACACAUCAGGGGAAGAAAACAAUGGAUCAAGGGAUUGAGUUCAUUAGAGCCAUUUCCACUCCACUUCUGUCUUGAUGCUCAGUGUUCCUAAACUCACCCACUGAGCUCUGAAUUA
rnacentral:lncRNA from 1 species